rnacentral:rRNA from 1 species
UACGGGGGGGGCAAGCGUUGUUCGGAAUUACUGGGCGUAAAGGGCUCGUAGGUGGCCAACUAAGUCAUACGUGAAAUCCCUCGGCUUAACCGGGGAACUGCGUCUGAUACUGGAUGGCUUGAGGUUGGGAGAGGGAACUGGAAUUUACGGUGUAGCGGUGAAAUGCGCAGAUAUCGGGAAGAACACCCGUGGCGAAGGCGGUUCUCUGGGACGGUACUGACGCUGAGACGCGAAAGCGUGGGGAGCGAACAGG